GACUGUGCAGGUUCAAAGUGGUUACUUUUGGAAAAAUAUGGACUUGUUCCUUAAGGUCUCCAUGUUAUUUAGUUUUAUUACGUUUGCAUGCUUCUUGUGAAGAGCUGGAAUGGCAUGGUGUUUACAGCAGUGUGUAUAGGCAGAUCAGUUGCUCGGCUGUUUGGCUCUUGUCUGCCCACUCGUUCCCAUACACUCGCUCUUUGAGGCUGAAUACAGAUGUGAUUCACACAGGAGACUGCUCCUUUAUUUAUCAUCCCCCGUAGUUUUAGGCUGAAGAAGCUAAUCCGGAGUGAGGUGAAGGUUGCAAAUUUUGUUGUCCAGUGAAUAUUUACGAGCCACCGUCUUCUUAAUUCAGGGUCCAUGAAAACUUUGAAAGCCGAUUAUAUUAGGAAAACAACAAUGUUCGCAGUAUUGCUUUAUGUCUGCAAUAUGACUUUGUCUUUUCUAGCUGUCAUGGUAACACACAGCGGUUCUGUAUUUCACUCAUGCGGAUGUGACGUCAGCGCCGUACGUGCAAAGACCCCAUUGAGAAAGAGAAUACAAAUCAAUAGACACAUAAAUCAAAUAAUUAAAGAACUGAGAAAACAUAUUUCUAUAUUGAGAAAAUUCUGAAAUGAUAGAAAUAUCUAAAACUUCUAAAACAUGUCCCAGGAGUCUGCAGUCUUUACAAUCUAAUGAGUAAAAUAAAACACGUUUAGAUUAUAAAUCUAAACAAUUAUAAAGGUCACAUGACCUUUAUAAUUGUUUAUCAUUUUUUGGUAAAUAGAUGCUAUAGAUUAAAAAAAACCCCACCAUUCUGGAAGAGAAAAAUAAAAAUAGAAAUUGAUACAUUUUGUACCAAUUUUCAUCCCAUCGUUUAAAUAUACGAUCGGUGAAAUCGUAGGUAUAAAAAGUAUAUAGUUUCCAACCUAAAGUAGAAAAAGUAAAUCCAGAAAAAAAUUACUGGUCCUUUUACUGACAUUAUUUAAUUAUUCCAUGACAAACUGAAAAAAAAAUCCUUAAAACCUGUAUUUGCUGUUAAAUCUAAAUUAGUUGGUCCUCAGCCAAAGCUAUUGAAAACCAUUGUGGAAGGUUGGAGAACCCCGCAUAAACCGUAAUAUUUAACAUAGAAAUAAAAAUAAUGUAGAAUAUUUGUAAUAAUAAAUAAUGCUAUUGAAUUGUAUAAGCAGUAUUUGCCUCUAAAUAAUUUGAUUAUUAUUACCUGUUUCUUUAUAUGGUAGUAGUGCACCUUCUGUACUUGAUCUCAGUUCAUUCAUCUACCAACUUCCUGCUCUUCUACCUACCCAGUCAUCUCCUCUGUCCCCUCCCCAGUGACCCUCACCCUUCCCCUGUCCCUUGACUUUCCUCCCCUGCGUUUUCCUUGCCCGGUUUUCUUGCCUAUGGAUGAUACAGGAUACCCAUGCUCCAAUUUCACCCUCUCAUCAUGACAUCCAUUAAAGUGGCGCUCAGUCCUGGGCCCCUGUUGGCCUGACAGCACAUUAGCCCUCGGCCCAUUGAACGCCAACAAGGACCAGCUCUGAAUUAUUGAUACCAACACAACUAAUGAAGAAACCCUAUCUCAGCUCUUUUUUAUUUCUCUCUCUUUCUCACACACAGACACACACACCUCUACACACACAGUUUGAAUGCCCAGAGAAACAUACACACACAGCUUUUUUGAUGUUAACUAUCAUCCCACCUGCUUGCAUCUCAUUUAGAGAAACGCAUAUUCUCAGUUCCUGCAGAACACUGAAUUCCUGUUCUUUUCAACAAAAUGUUUGCUCGGUUGCCCAAAAUGCUGAUGAGGGACUGUUGAUAUUUUUCUCUUUGAUUCUAGGUGAUAUUUGCAUAUUUAUAUCUACAGGUGCUUUGUUUUUAGGAGCUUUUUGUCAUAUGAUUUUAUACAGUCUCUGAUAAGUCUGAUUGGGUGUUUGUGGCAUUAAAGUCUGCCUCUGUUUACAUACAAAGUCAUACAGCGUCUUUCAAAACAAUUCAACCAUUUUACAUUUUUUCACAUUGCAGCCAAACAUUGAAUUUUAUGAAAAGAACUUACACAAAUUUGUGCAGAAUUGUCAAGUGCUAGGAAAAUGAUGCAUGGUUUCCAAAAUGUUUUCUCAGUAAAAGCAUUUCAAUCAUUGACACUCACAUUUUGCUGCAAUUAUUAGGGUUGUUGAUCUGAUGUAAGGUGAACAUCUGACCUAGCCUCAUGUCUUCUUGAGCUUCUAUCACAGUAAUGACUGUAGUUAGAAGGAUGUGUCAUAAUGUUUUAGAUUUGUUCCUGGUUCAACACUCCUGAAUCAAAUGAUGGAAUAUUUCCAAGCCUUUGUAGAUCUUGAGUCAGCUGUGUUGGAGCAGGGACCAAAAUGAGAACUGCAAUUCACUGAUGCUUCAGAAGCUGCCCAGCAUUUAGCUUGAUCAGUCUUCUGGUCAAAUAACUCAGAGCAGUGUUCCUGUCCAUGCUGAAGAAUAUCAUCCUCCUGUAUGACUCUGUAAAAUCACGUUUCACCCAAAUACAGAGUGUUCAGUAUGAUAUGAUGUGGUGUUUUUUCCAUAAAACAGUGUCUUUCCAUAAAAACAGUGUUUUGCGAGAGAAGGUCCACAAAAUUAGUUUAAUUCUUCUUACAAGACGUCUUGUGGUUUCUUUACAGUAACAACUUUGGAAGAUUAGAGUCAGUGACCAUGUGUACACAAGUUUCUAAUAUACUUCCUUCUAUUCAUCCCAUCAUCUAUACCAGCCGUCAAAGGUAAUGCAGUAGCUGGUGCCUAUCAGUGGUCAUUGGGCAAUAGCGUGUGUGUGUGCACCCCCGCACACACACACGCCUAACUAACAAUAAUGAUUCUUGACUAUUGGAAGAACAUAAAAUAUCUAUGUAGAAAUACUCCAGACCUUUAUUCAAACAUAGGACCUUCUGGCUUAAAAGGAAAUGUAUUACCAACUGCUCCACCUUGCUAAUAUAAGACAAUAAGAGUUUCUCAAAAACUAUUUUAUAAUUUCUCCUUUAACAAAAAUUUCCAGAAAUGUCUUCACUCAUACCAAAAACAAACAACCAAGGUAGAUGAUCUUUUAAAGUUUUUUCUAAUUCACUGUAGCAAAUCCCUGAAACACAGAACAGCUGGAUUGAUACUGAAAUUACACUACAUAGGUGGACUUUUUCCUGUUUUACUUUUCGGGCGCGAUGGUGGCGACGGCAGUAAGAGUUUGCCCUGCAGGUGGACGAUUCAAUUCCCACUCCAUCCACCUCAGUUGUGUCCUUGGGAAAGAAGCUUGAUCCACCUUGCCUGCUGUUGAUCAGAAGAGCCGAUGGCAGAAGCCUGUGGCAGGCUGGGCAGCUGUGGCAGCAAUUCAGUAGCUUGCCACUGAUCAUCAGUGCACAAAUGGAAAUGAUUGGUUUUAUUGUAAAGCGUCUUUGAGAACCCUUUGAGGAUUGAAAAGGACUGCAUAAGUCUGACAUCAUUUCAUUAUUUAAUUUCCCUUUGGUACCAAUGAAGUAUUUUUUAAUUUGAAUUGAACUUGAAUUUUCUAAUUUGGUGAUAAAGUGACUUCUAAAGGGAAUUCACUUCACUAUAUUGAUUUUGAGGUAUCAAAGUAAAACACACUGAAUGGCAUAAUUUCCUAAAUUCUAUUUGACAAAAGUUUAAAAAUCAUACAUCAUCAUACAUUUCUUCCACUCUACUGUAUAUCUCAUAUAAUUAAAACAAAACACACUCAGGUUCAAGGGGUUUGAAGUCAUUUCCAAGGUACCAUGGAGGUAUGCAGCGGAGCUCCUUCACAGAGAGGUACUGGAGGUGUCAGCCCAUCUCCUUAGUAUUCACUCCAACAUCCUUUGACUCACAGCCUCAGCCUGAGAGCGUGAGAAUGAAAGUGGGAGAAUACAGUUAGAAAAUAAAAAAGCAAAACAUCAGACAGCUUUCUGCUGUCGCCUCAGGCUCACGUGGUUAUAUCUGUUGUGUUUGCAAGCAGGCCAGCCCAAGGGGAUUAGUUUUUUUGACAGUUUUGUUAAGCCUUCUCUAACGCACCAAGCUAUUCGGUAAUGUCGGGGCUGUGAUUUUAGAAAACGUCUCUCCCAAGCUGUCCUAUGAUUUCUCCUUCAUGAAGGAGAAACUGGAAGGAGGAAGCAGUUCGGGAACAUGACAGCGGACAUUUUUCUGAGUGGCUUCUUAGUGUGGUGGAAUUGGACCAUAAAACAACUGUCUGUGAAGCUCCUCUUCAAUUAGUGAAUGCCUUGCUGAGGUCCUGCUUAAUUCUCUCCUGGCUCUGACAGCUUUCCUCUCUCUUUGUCUGCGUUUCCUUCUGGUCGUCUCUUCUUGUCUCCACGUCUCUUCAUCCCUCUGUCAGUUUGUGUUUAGUUUAAUCUCUCCCCCUCCUUUUUCUGCUUCCUCCGCUCUGUCGCUUCCCAUUUCAUCUCUUCUUUUUUUUUCCCCUGGCAUCCCCCCCACCCACCAUUCCUCUCUUCCCCACAGCUCUCCCUGUCUGAAUUCCAAUCCCUCUGACAAAAGCUCAGACGAUAAAAUGUCUAACUUUGCUUGAAAGGGUCAGGAGAUGGAAGGAGGGAAGGACAAAUAAAAGGUUAAUCCUUUAACAAGUCCACAUAGGUGUGGAGUCAAAGGACAGAGAGAGAGGGGAGGGCAGGAGAGGGAAGAGGUGGAGAACAAGUGCUGUAAACAGAUGUAGGAGACUGGGCUCUUACAGGGGGUGAAUGUGAAAAAUGAGAGGGAGAUGGCAUUUUCAGUCAAGCUCUGUCUCUCUGUUAGAGAAUUUUCGGAAUUAUCAUUUUGUUUUUACUUUAGGUGAAAUUCAGUCUAAUUAAAGUGUUCUCUUUCCUUGUGUGUAUCUUCUGACCUGGAGGUCAGGCUUGCCUGUUAAUUCUGUGUUCUCAGACCCUAAAUUCUUAUCAACCAGAAAGCCCUCUAAACUGCCUGUGAGCAGUCGUAUUUUGUUUUGUUAACAGCUUGACCGAGAUUUGAACCGGGCUCAGAUCGCAGAUUAGUUAUCACACCUGGAAAUGGGUUGCUGGUUGUUUAGGUUACAUGUUUUACGACCUCUGUUGUUUUUACUAAUUGCCCCUUGGCUGUUUUUCUUUGACAAUAAAACAGGAGCUCGGGUGGAAGGAGAUCAGAACUCUUUCUGAACGGCUUGGAGAAGCUGUUCGGAGAAUUCUCCUUUUGCAAAAGCUUUAUCAUAAAAUUCAUAUAUACGUUGUCUGUGGUUCUUUAUUUAGGUUCAAGGAAAAGUACCUAUCAUUUUGGUGCGAAACCGGGAUCUCUCCUCCCCGCUGCCAGGCAGAGGAAGACGCGCUGAAUCCGUGUAUGCGGCCAGAGUCAACUGGACCUGGAAAGAAAGACCAGGAAGCAAAUUCUUCGCUGGGCCAGCUACGCAUGUCCGACUUUGUCUGCCAGCGGAGUGGCGAGAUCCGACUGGACAACCAGACAACUACAGAAACGAGGCCACUCCAAUCGAGCAAGGUGAUUGGGUCUACAUAAAGGUCAUCAAACGAAAGAACUGGGCGAGUCCACGGUGGGAAGGACCGUUCCAGGUGCUGAUGACCACACCAACAGCCGUAAAGAUUGCUGAAAGACCCACAUGGAUUCAUCUCAGUCACUGCAAGCUACAGAGAAUGUUUGAUCCCUAAAGUCGGAGUAGAGAGGAAGGAGAGCUUUUUAAAAAGCUCCCGGGGUAAACAGGGGGACUACAUUAUAGUUGUAGUUCGUUUGGAACCCGGUGAAGAAACGCUAAGAUUCUCACUCCUUUAGUUUGGGGAUAUUUGACAUCCCUGCACGCCGAGCAGUAAUGGAAACUCCAUAUGCCAGAUGAAUUUUCUACUGUAUUGUGACAGCUGUAUCUUUGAUGUUUGGAGAAGGAAACGAGCCUGAGCUUCAUCCGCAUGACUACAGUACGAAUCUGUGGUGGAAGCUGAUGAAUAGAACCGCUUAUGAGGGACAUGCUGUGAACUGCUACGUGUGUGCGCAGAUGCCGGUUUCCAUACAUAACUCAGGUCUACGACCAGGUAACAUUACUGACGACAAACAGAUGUGUCUCUACGUUCUAAGCACCAGACCACGGCGUAUCCCACCCCUAAGAGGAGACAGACCACGUGAGGAGGACUAUUCAGUUGACCUCCGGAUGGGGAGAGGCUGUGAAGCCUCUUUCAAUCUUUAAAUUGUUCACUUGCAGAUGAUGUACUUCCUUUUUCGUCAUCUCAACAAACUGUAUGGAAAAUACCAGAGAUCAUUUCGUUAGCAGGAGCUAAACCAGGAUCUCUAGGGAACUGUGUUUAUAAUAAUGGACAUGUUGUUCUAGGGACGGUGCCCUGGAAUUUGUGUAACAGAGUUUACACCUACUGCAAACCGACACAGGAUUUAAUCACCUGCACAGCAUGCAGGGGUCAAGAGACGACUCCACGCUGCAAAGUCUGGAAGGACAACCCAGACUGUGACAACUUGCUUCAGGAGAGGAGUUUCAACAUCACGCAUAAGACAAAGAGGAAACAGGAGACAACACUGUGUAGCGCCAUAGUGCCAGGAGAUUAUGGCUCCCGAAUGUUGGCAGACUGGUACUUCAUAUGUGGAAAUGAAGCAUACAUGUUCUUGCCGAAAAAUUGGGGAGGACUGUGUGCUGUGGUUCCUUUGAUCAACCCGAUUGCAUUCAUCAGGAAAGCACAGAAUGAUCUACACACCCGCUCCAAACGAACAGUUACGUCAGAGGUCAAAAAAUGGGAGGCCUCACAACACAUACUGGAGUUCCAUGGGAAUUCCGGAUUUGGAACGGUGGAGAAAAAUUCAUGCAAAGCCUUUUUCCAUGGGUUGGUCUAGGAGAGAUUCGGGACCACGUUGAGAUAAACAGGUACGGAUUACUGCGACUAAUCAACAUCACAUACCAGCUGGCCAAUGGCACCAUGAAAGAACUGGCUGAACUGAGAAACAUGGUUAUGCAAAAUCGUGUUGUCUUGGACUUCCUCACUGCCCCUCAAGGAGGUGUCUGUAAAAUCGUUGGCCCAACGUGCUGUACUUAUGUACCUGACGAAACAGGAACUGGAGGAACUAUUUCUGACGCUCUAUACGAGCUGGAAGAUUUAAAACAGUCUUAUGAGUCGACUGAAGAUGACUUGUUCCAAGUUUCAGAUGAUUUUCUGAACAAUGAUGAAUUUCUGUAAUCAAUAAACAGAUGAUUUCAUUUGCUGAAUGACUCCUACAAAUGUGAAAACAAGUGGUGUUUUGGAUGAAAGAAAAACUGCAUUUGAUUUUUGCUGUUUCUUUUAUUUUUCAUUUAUUACUUUAUAUUUCAUUUGUUCAUUGUAUUUUCUGUUUAGGUUAGAAAAAAAACUCUUGCAUUUAUUGUUUUCUUUUUCUUCUUUUUCUUUUUUCUUUUCUAUGCUUUUGCAUGAAGUUUACACGCAUGUCGUAAAAUGAUAAAAAGGGGGGAAUGUUAGAGAAUUUUCGGAAUUAUCAUUUUGUUUUUACUUUAGGUGAAAUUCAGUCUAAUUAAAGUGUUCUCUUUCCUUGUGUGUAUCUUCUGACCUGGAGGUCAGGCUUGCCUGUUAAUUCUGUGUUCUCAGACCCUAAAUUCUUAUCAACCAGAAAGCCCUCUAAACUGCCUGUGAGCAGUCGUAUUUUGUUUUGUUAACAGCUUGACCGAGAUUUGAACCGGGCUCAGAUCGCAGAUUAGUUAUCACACCUGGAAAUGGGUUGCUGGUUGUUUAGGUUACAUGUUUUACGACCUCUGUUGUUUUUACUAAUUGCCCCUUGGCUGUUUUUCUUUGACAAUAAAACAGGAGCUCGGGUGGAAGGAGAUCAGAACUCUUUCUGAACGGCUUGGAGAAGCUGUUCCGGAGAAUUCUCCUUUUGCAAAAGCUUUAUCAUAAAAUUCAUAUAUACGUUGUCUGUGGUUCUUUAUUUAGGUUCAAGGAAAAGUACCUAUCACUCUCCUUCAUGACUUCCACUCUGCAUGAUGACAAGUGUGUACCGUCGCUCCCAUUGGCCAAGUCUGCCACCAAUCAGAGCAGAGGCAUGUAAGGUGCCUUUAGGUUAUACCCAGCCCCAAAAACAAGAAGCAGAGAGAAAGUGAGACUGGGAAAAGAGAGUGUGUGUGUGUGUGUGUGUGUGCGUUUUGGUGCAGGUGUGUGUGUGUUUUUCUGUGCGAGACCAAAGCAGGUGCUGCCUUUACAUAGCAAGGAGGACGUUCCCCAGUUUUUUUUGUUUUCUUUUGAAGCCUCCUGUGAAAUGGUACAGAUGAAAGGAAAGUGCUUGUCAGCUGUUUGCUGGAGACCACUGCAUUUCCUCUUGGCUGCUGUGGAGUAGAAGAUCAGGGCUCUGUAGCCCUCCCCCUUGUGAUUGGCUGUCACACUUUAGGCUCAACCUCCCUACCCCCCUCGCUCUCCUCUCUCUUUCUCCCUUCACCGUCCUCUGCUCCUCACACUGUCCUCAGGCAUACCUGAGCCACCGCUGCAGAAACACUGGAUCCCCCCCCCUCCUCAUUCGCGCACUAACAUAUCCACACUCACACUCACAAGAGCACCGACGGGCUCUCUGUUCCACACACACAGUCUUUCACCUGGAGAGGGCAGGCGCAAGGGACGACAUGUGCAGCAGCAGUAGCAGCAGCAGCAACAGCAGUCUGUCUCCACAUCCAGCACUGCCUCUCUGAGUUGCGUCUUUCCGGAGAGUGGAAGGGGGGGGGACGACUCUGAAUUUUUAUUUUUUGGGGGUUUUUUUGGAGCAUUUUUGUUGUUGUCUCUCGGCAAAAGCAGGAGAGACUCGGGCAAGUGGGGGGGAAACACCUGCCAACCCCAGGGGAUACCAAAGGCAACACAAACCCACACAGCAUGAUUCUGGACCCCGUGUUUCUGUGGUUCUGAUACUGCUCAGGAUGUAAACCAGCUGGCCUGAUGGAAAAAGACAGAGAGGCUGCCUGACAGCCGGGGUGCUGUGUGUGUGCAUGGUGCAGAACAAGGACUUCCCAGCCCACCCUAUGGAUCUCUAGAAGCAUCUCACCUCCUUCACAUGAAAGGAUUCAAAGCACCUGCGUUUGACAACCCCUCCCCUAACGAGUGCAGCAGCAGCACGCCUCCAUACGACGGACCCCUCACUCCCCCCCUCAGCAUCAGCAGUAACUUUGCCCUGAAGCAGGAGCCUUCUCCACAUGAAUCAGAGAGGAACUACACACCCCACCCUGGUCAACAUGCCCACUACCUCUCAGCCCACCACUUCCCCACUUCCACAGCUGGCAGCCUACCAGGCAGGGCUCAGUCUCACCCGAUCUUUCAAGCUUCUCGUUACGAGUUACCCCUGGAUGUGGCCUUUGAGUCUUUCACUCCUUCUCACCUGGUCACUGCUCAGAUGGGCACCAUCUAAGACUGAAUGAAACCAGUAAGUGACUGGUCAGAAACUGUCCUCAGAAGUGAAUCUGCCACUGAACAAGUUUUUGGACUGGCUGUGCAAAAACAAAAAAAGGUUUAUGCUGAACCCACUGGGUUCAGAGAGACUUUUCACCUCAACUGAGUCUACCUGAUGCAAACAUGCGACCAUGUUUAUCCUUUUAUUUAUUGCUUUCCUGUUUGAUCUUGCAUUGGUGUUUGAACUCUUAAUUAUUUCCGAACAUUUGCCCUGCAGUUAUGAAAGAGUCAAACUAACCAUAACCAACAUAUCUUUGCUCAUGCAGAAGUAAAAUACAACUAUCUGAUGUUUGAACUCAAGAGCUCUGAGAAUAAAUUGAUCCAAAAGUCAUCCUGCUCAAAUAUGUGCACAAAGGUCUUGAUUUUUAAGAAAGCAACUAUUUAUAUAUGUAUUUAAUAUUUAUUCUGAUAAUGUCUUGUCUUCUUUUUUUACAUUCUUCUCUGCACAGUUUAUGUAUUUCCGUCUCCUUGGUUUGUUGCCAUCCAUUGGUAGCUGUACUUAGCUAUUUAUUUUGAGGUUUUUCAGGUGACUUGUUCAUAUUUGUGUUGCCAUUUUUGUCACAUGUACUGUUAAUAUUUUGCUGUUUCGCACUUACUGAAAUAAAUAUUCUUAUAUUAUAUGCUAUUUCCAUAGUAACACUGUGUGACAAGCAUUUUUUUUAUAUUUUAGAAUACCAUAUUUUUCUUUAUAUUUUUGGCAAAGGCAUCACUUCAUGUUACUGUGGAGUUUCUCUCGUAACAGACAGAUUUAUUCUUUUCACAUUGAAUUUGUCAAAGAAGUAAGAAAUUAGUUUUCUUUCAUACCUUGCUAUUAGUAGGUGUGUAAAAAAUACAUUUGUGACCCCUUGUGGUUUUUAUUGCACCAAUAAAAGGUCAUAAGCCAGUGAUUCAUAGUGCCGGUCCCAAGUCUUCUGAUAAACGGAGACAGGUUAAGUCAGAAAGGGCAUCCAAUGUAAAACUGAAGCCAAAUCAAAUAUGACAACAUGAACUCCAUACCAAAUCGGUCAAUCCCCAGGUUAAUAAAGAACAUCUCUUGUCCUGUCCUAUGGAAGUUGGACUAAUGUUUCUUGAGAUAAAGUCAAAGAAACCAGACUGAGAUUGUUUCAAUAUUUUCAGAGGUGAAGCAAUGUUUAUUGGCAGUAGGAUGAGAAUAAGACCAAAAAGACAAUUUAUGUAGAAGAGUUUUGUUUGAAAUACACAAAAUUACAGAAACAGUGGGGAAAGAGGAAAUGAAGCUGGUUGGUGUGAAGGUAGAGGAUGCACAGGAUGAAACUAAAUUGAGACAAUUUGGUGAGGUGACCCCUGAACAUAAAAGCCAAUAAAAGAGAUGCAAAAUGACAUUUCUUGUUAAAGUAUUCUACACCAUGUGACUUUAUCGAGUUUUCCACUUUACAACCACAAUCUUCAAUUUAGUUGAUAAGAAUUUUAAUUGAUAGACCAAUUAAGAUAAUAAAUAAACAAAACAGAAAAUUAUAUAUGGUUUUAAUUGGUUUUAUAAAUAAAAAUCUGACAGGGGCAUUUGUUUCCACUCUCCCUGAAGCAAAGGUUUUGGAUGACAUAUUUUGCUGCACCAACAGUUUAAUGACUUUUGUGUUAUAUUUCUAAAAAAUUUAACCAUCAAGAAACAAAGCCUUUUGCUAUUCCUUUUUUUGUUGCAAAACAUUGUUGAACAUCAAUGAUCAAGUCUUGCCAUGGAUAUUUAAAGAGGCUUUGACUUUUAUGACCAUAGUAAAUCUUUUAAUAUUAACAAUUCCAGAAUCUGUCCAUCUUCCAAUCAACUCUGAGCAGCUUCUAGUCUAUGAUAAAGCAUCCACACCAUAUUUGGUUACCUUGCACUAUUAUAUGGGAUAGUAUAUCAGGAAGAUGCACUAUUUAAUUGGUUUUUAUAAAUAAAACCAAUCUUUAUGAUAAAUCUUGUUUGCAUCUAAGAGAAAAUGCAAAAGUUUUAUCUAGUUUGACCAGAACACUUUCUUUCACAUGUUUGCUUUGACCUACAGCUUGCUGGUUUUAAAUCACAAACAUUACUUAUUUUAGGUUUCUUUUGACAACUCUCUCAUAUUUCAAUUGUAGCUUACCAGGCCUGACAAGGUAGACAACCAUGCGUUUGCAGGAGGGCCAUACUUUGUAUUUUGUGAAAUGUUAAAAGGCUGGAAUAUUGUUUGUAUAACACAACUCUGCUUUGAACCUCUCCACAACUAUUUUCCUGCCAUGUUGUUGCACUGGGUUUUGUUUAGGCCUACUAGAGUAAAGUAAGAUAAAUUUAUAUGCAAUUUUUGAUAACAAGGUAGCCUUUUGUCUUCCAUGCAAGUUUUUGAUGAUUCAAGCAGCAUUCAAUCUUCAGAAAACACAUUAAACUUUAUGCUUGCAUCUUCAAAACUGCAGAAAAGUUGAAGUUAAAAAUGCUUUUGAAUGGGAAAUACAUUUACUGAUUUAUCUGCUUUUGGAUUUAGUUUUUAACAAGAUGUGCAGAUUUCUUACUAGCAGAGGAGAAGUUGCUGACUUGUGCCAGCAAACCAUCUGUUCUGUAAUCAGAACAAGGACAAGUAGUACAAAAAUGGAAUCUGAUUCUAUUUGAUUUGAAUCAUUUUAGCAUUUGCUAAAGCAAUGAUAAAAGGGAACUGUUGCAGAAUGUGAGCAUCUGUGUGCCAGUCUGUGUAUGAUGUCACUCAGUGACUUGGCUCCAGGCUUUCUCUCAGGUCAGAUGGGAGGCUGUUGUUGUGGGCCAUGGGAAAAACAGCUCUGGGGAACAGGUGAACAUGUCACAAGGGGUUUUUCUGAGCUCCUCUCAUUCACUUUUCUCUCACAUGUGCCCCAUUUUCCCAUCAGGCUCAUGCCAAAACACCGUGGGGCGAGAGAUCAUGGAAAAAAAAUAAAAUAAAAAUAAUUGGUACAUGUUUGCCAGAGUGUGGGAAAACGAGAAGGCACGGAAAAUGAUUAUGAUUUAAAUUGACAGUAAAACAUUGUAUCCUAUUCUUUUAUCAAAAUGGAAGAGUACAGUUUUAUGAAGUCUAUUUAGAGAUGAAAAUCAGAAUAGGCUAUUAAUAACAUAAUAAUGGCCAAAGUAGUUUUGACUUCAAUCAUCACCCUAAACACUACAAUGAGACUUCAAAUAAACAAAAAACAGGAAGCCAAAGUGGAAAAAAAUGACUAGGAAGAGUAGGAGCUGGUUUGUGAGCGCAAGUUUCUUCCUUCUGGCCGGUGGGCAAUUGUGUGAAUGGGAAGUUGUUGUCCGAAAGGACUUUCCACCUCUUCAUCUACCUCUCCAAAAUGUUUGUCUUUUCCAGUUCUGACAAAAGUGCCAAGAGGCUUUCAAAGAAAAGGGAAUUAUUGUUUUAGUGGGCGCCACUGGUCUAUUGUCGACGCAGCCUGUUCUUUCUCUUGACCUGUGACCUGUAUUGUUGUUAGGAUUCUUGUUCGGGGAGAGCAGACAGCUGGGGGAGCGGCAGGGGGGCUGAUGGACAGCUGGGACAAUUUUGAAGAGAGGAAGAGAGAAGAGAAGCGAGAGCAUGAGGGGAGAAGGACGAGAGAGAGGGAAAAUGAAGAGCUUGUUGUGGACAAAUAGAAAGGCCAGAUGAGGUGACGGAGGUCCCCGCUCCUCAUUCACAAGUUUGUCCUCUUUGCUCUUGUGGGUCAGCGUUGGCACAGGAGUGACACAUAGCUAUACAGGCAGACACUCAGCCUGUGAGAAAGUAGUGGCAGAGUUUGCUGGCGCACUCUCUCUUUGUUGCUUUGCUUUUUGUUGUAACAAAAGUGGUAGGAGGGGGGCAGGGAAUGUCAAUUAUCCUAGAGUCCAAAUACAUGGAUAUGGAAAUAAUCCCAGUAAACUGACUUUGGGUACAAGAUUACAAAACAUAGAGGCAGAUGAUGUUAUAGGGUGAGGCUUGGAAGAGAGUAUAAUGGUCAAACAAGACAAUUUUUUAAGAUUUAUGGUCUACGUCUGAAUAAGUUUUCCCUUAAAACUCUGGGUAACAUGGCAACACUUUACAAGUCAUAGUUGGCUGAGCGCAGAGUUUAUUUCAUCAAGAAAACAACACAUUUUAGGGUUUGUGUUUCAGAUAUGUGUUGACUUAAGGUCCUAAACAGGACUUUGUUAAGUGAUCAUUACUGGGAGUUCCUGGUGACACUCUGUCCCUGAUACCUGUAUUUGUUCACCUGUCGAUGACUACGACAACCGCUCCCCAACAAGACACAUGACUACAUUUUACAUGGCUAGUUUUUAACAGCACCUGCCUAUUUUCUUGUGCAGAGAGUUUUUAUUAAGCACAUCUAGCUAACACUGGAGUUGAGCCCUUAUUUACUUUCUGAAAUGACUGAGGUAGCCCUGACAACAGCCCUGUCCUAUUGUCAAAUAUGCUCCUUAAAUACAGUAACCUAAAGAUGAGUACAUUGUGGUAACAAAGGGAUGUGCAACAAUGCUCUACAGGACUGUAGUGUUAAAGCAAUUUUCAGUUGGGACUAAGGGGUGCAAAAUGUAUCAACAAAUAUUCAAAGCACUUCUUGCUGAUGGAUAAUAUUUCUUAGACAUAAUUAAAUUUUCUUACAGAAAUUGUCAGCAUUUCAAAACAUUUUAUCUGAAAUGCUGAAUAUCAAUGUUUUAUAACAUUCCUAUGUGCCAGCAGGAAUGUUAUAAAACGUUCCUGGUAGUAGAUACACAUCACUGGAUGGUCAAUAUAAAAUGUCCUCUAGCAGUUGUCUCUUCAGGUACUGUGAAGAGCACAACAUAAAUA